rnacentral:rRNA from 1 species
UACGGGGGGGGUAAGCGUUGUUCGGAAUUACUGGGCGUAAAGGGCUCGUAGGCGGCCAACUAAGUCAGACGUGAAAUCCCUCAGCUUAACUGGGGAACUGCGUCUGAUACUGGAUGGCUUGGAUUCGGGAGAGGAAUGCGGAAUUCCAGGUGUAGCGGUGAAAUGCGUAGAUAUCUGGAGGAACACCGGUGGCGAAGGCGGCAUUCUGGACCGAUAUUGACGCUGAGGAGUGAAAGCCAGGGGAGCAAACGGG